rnacentral:lncRNA from 1 species
GCUUUAUCUGAGACACUUGAUUUGCUCCUUGUAAAGCUUUGCCUUUCUUGCCCAUGAUAUUGUAGAUCACACCAUUCUUCAUAGCCCUUAUCAUGACUCAGAAUUCGUCCUCUACCUAAACAGAAAAUUUAUGAAUAACAAAAUAAAGUGAUACUAUUAUUAUCCUUUGUAGAGAUGAAAAGUUAUGACACUAACCAAAACCAACAAGUUUUAUGAUGCAAGGGCACG